GUCUUCUGGAACAGAUGACAUUAGAAAACCGAGGUACCACUGUAUUUCUGACAGUUAGAUAUAAAAUAGAUAAUAAUUGGAAGAAACUUGCAUAAAUGAAACAAGAACAUUUUCAUAAUGCUGAAAACAACAGCAACAGCACUAUUAAAGGAAUAAAUAAGCAUGUAAGUGGGCCUCAAUUCCUUCAUCCUGGAACCAACUUUCCCUUCUCUGUUAACACCUAUUUCCAUGUCUUUCUCAAAUCCUGUAUUUACAUCUCAAGAGAGUUUCAUAGUCCUUGAACCAAUUAUCAGGUGGGUGCUCCUGUUGAUUGAUUUAUGGCUUUCUUCUCUCCUCUAGUUUCAAUCAAAUGAUCAUCCCUGAGCAACAAACAUUUGAGAAAAACUCAGAACUCAGACAUACAUUCUGACAAUUUGUGCUUUUUCCCUACAACCACCAUCCUAGAUUCAGGUCUCAAUUGCUUCACACUUAAGUUGUUGACAAAACAAAUCACUCUCUUACCUCCCUGCCUCCAAUCUCAUUUCACCUGAUUGCCCUACUGACAGAAAGCCUUACAAACAUUUCUGCCAUAUUAUUGUUCCCAGAUUAAAAUUUUAAAUGAUCUCCCAUUUCUAUCAAAUCAAAAUUCCCCAGUGUGACAUUCUAACUAACUCAUCUUUGAAUUACCACGGUAUAUUGCUUGUCACAACUCAACAGAUAGCCCUGUACACAAAGUCAAAAGCACAUAUAUUUGAUAUUUAAACUUAUCUCAGCCACUACUUUUUUUAAAAUGUUUUCUGACCCCGUCCCACCUGUCCCUGAUGUGGGUUAGGUGUACCUCCCCUCGCAGAGCACCUCCAGCAAAUACGUCAGAGAAUGAAACAAACUGUAUUGUCCUGUUUUGCUUGUCUGUAUCCCUCCGUUAGGAUAUAAGUUUCUUGCAGGCAGAAAUAUGUCCUAUUUGUCUUCCUUCCACCUUCUAGACUUGAAUCAAAUUUAACUUCUUUGAAAAUAGUCAAAUGUUCAUCAAAGAAAGGGAGAGAUGUGACUUGGGGCUCCCAAUAUGAAGCUGAAAAUAAUUUGUUUCUAAAGCAAUAUUGCCUCUCACUAAGGAGCCUAAAAUGCUACAGAAUCAAGAGACAAAUAGGCAGCUAUGCAGAAUUCUGAAAGUAUGACAUAUGGCUUCAGCACUCAACUCAGCCCCAGGAACAUGCACCAAACUCCAAGACAUCAUUAUUUGGGACAUUUUAUGUCCUCUAUAAAGAAAGCCCCAGUUCUUCCCUCUCAGUGAUAUGUUUAGAUCUGUUCCCUGCUUGCCUCUCUUGCCACUGUGUCCUGACCACUCUCUGUCUCAAUGUCUGAGGACCUCAAGGCAGAAGAGAAAACCCAUUCCAUUAGUACCUAUUCUAACACGCCUUCAUUUUAGGCAUCAUUUCAGAAUUUACUCUGCUUUGCAACCAUACACUACACUGUUGCCAUAAUACAACCUUUCACUGCAUGUGAGAAAUUUCCCAAGAAGCCUUUCUCAGUAAUGUACCUCUGGCUUGGUUUCAGGUACUUUCUUCCAAAGACAAUCCUCCUACAGUGGAAGACGCUGGAACUGUUGGAACUGGGGACCUUCACCAGAAAGCACUCACUCUCUGUUUCAGCCCAACCUUUCAUUCCUGAUACCGACUUUGGCCCAAGUAUGAUCUUCAGUAACCAGACCCUACCAUAUAUCUGUAAAUUUUGAAAAUAAACAAGUGUUUAAAAUAUG